UACGGGGGGGGCAAGCGUUGUUCGGAAUUACUGGGCGUAAAGGGCGCGUAGGCGGUUUGCUAAGUUGGAUGUGAAAACUCUGGGCUUAACCCAGAGCCUGCAUCCAAAACUGGCAAACUUGAGUACUGGAGGGGAAAGCGGAAUUCCUGGUGUAGCGGUGAAAUGCGUAGAUAUCUGGAGGAACACCGGUGGCGAAGGCGGCAUCCUGGACCGACACUGACACUGAGGAGCGAAAGCCAGGGGAGCAAACAGG
rnacentral:rRNA from 1 species